rnacentral:rRNA from 1 species
CCCUUAGAUGUUCUGGGCCGCACGCGCGCUACACUGAUGCAUUCAACGAGUCUAAAACCUGCUCUGAUAGGGGUGGGUUAUCUUUUGAAUGUGCAUCGUGAUUGGGAUAGAUGAUUGCAAUUUUUCAUCUUCAACGAGGAAUGCCUAGUAAACGCAAGUCAUCAGCUUGCAUUGAUUACGUCCCUGCCCUUUGUACACACCGCCCGUCGCUCCUACCGAUUGAAUGAUCCGAUGAAUAUCAUGGAUUGAGGAUGCAAGUAGGUUAGCCUAUCUUCAUCUUCGAGAAGUGAAGUAAAUCUUAUCAUUUAGAGGAAGGAGAAGUCGUAACA